rnacentral:rRNA from 1 species
CCUACGGGUGGCAGCAGUAGGGAAUAUUGCUCAAUGGGGGAAACCCUGAAGCAGCAACGCCGCGUGGAGGAUGAAGGUACAGAGUAUCGUAAACCUCUUUUGUCAGGGAACAAAGGCGGGGACGUGUCCCCGGAUGAGUGUACCUGAAGAAAAAGCAUCGGCUAACUCCGUGCCAGCAGCCGCGGUAAUACGGGGGAUGCGAGCGUUAUCCGGAUUUAUUGGGGUAAAAGGGUGCGCAGGCGGUCUGUUAAGUCAGCGGUCAAAGCCCGGGGCUCAACCCCGGCCCGCCGUUGAAACUGGCAGUCUCGAGUUGGAGAGAGGUAUGCGGAAUGCGCGGUGUAGCGGUGAAAGGCAUAGAUAUCGCGCAGAACUCCGAUUGCGAAGGCAGCAUGCCGGCUCCACACUGACGCUGAGGCACGAAAGCGUGGGUAUCGAACAGGAGUAGAUACCCUUGUAGUC